GCCUUCUUAGCUCAGUUGGCAGAGCGCGUGCCUAGUAAGCAUGAGGUCAGGUGUUCGAAUCUCCUAGAAGGCA
rnacentral:tRNA from 1 species